rnacentral:lncRNA from 1 species
AGUUCCGGUUCGGCUUCUGCCGCCCCUCGGCUCCUCGCCUUCUCCCCUCCCCUCCCGCACUUUUCCUCCCUCCAGUUCCUAGGAAAGAGAAGCCAACGCUGCUGGUGGGUAGAGAAGCACUCCGCGCCUCCAGGAGGGAACUGCGCUCACCCCAUCUGAGCCCCAGGACACGGCCAGACGAGGUUACAAAAUAUCCUCCUAUGCUUGGGAACUACAGACUACGUGUCCUACAAGAACUAAUCACUGGUUUUUCAUCUCCUGGAGAUAAGUUAGAAACAUAAAUAUGGUGCCAAAAGAACUCCUUUCCUUACUCUGACCACGGUUUUGUUUGGACAUACUUUUGUAUUGAAGAAAGGUAUACAGAUUAAGGCUACUCGUGCAGAGACUUUGUCGUGUAUUAUCAUGGACCAUCCUAGUAGGGAGAAGGAUGAAAGACAACGGACAACUAAACCCAUGGCACAAAGGAGUGCACACUGUUCGCGACCAUCUGGCUCCUCAACAUCCUCUGGGGUUCUUAUGGUGGGACCCAACUUCAGGGUUGGCAAGAAGAUAGGGUGUGGGAACUUCGGAGAACUCAGAUUAGGUAAGAAUUUGGUUAUAUUAUUGGCUUAGACUAAACAACAACAAGAGCCACAGCAGCCGUAAUAUGUAAUGGUGUGUUUCCAGACAAGCAGCUUGUAAUUUUAGGAGAAACUCUUAUAGUGAGGAUCCAUUAUUAAAGGAACUAACAAAAUUGUGAAGAGGACUAUAGUCAUUAUCAGUUAUAAUUGUCAUCCAAGGUUCAUCCUUCUUUGUGUGUGAUAGGAUUGUAAGUUUUCCACCAAUUCUGAGAUUUAUGAUGAAGGCAUAUCUGCAUACAGAUUUCAGUAAAGUGAAAAUUCUGAUUUAGCUGGUUUGAGAAAUAGAGCUCUGUAUUGUCUCUUUAACAAACUCCCAGUUGAUCCAGAUGCUGUUGGUCUUUGAACCACACUUUGAGAAAGGAUUAAGGCCUUGUUUUAAUUCAGACUCUACUCCUAGUAAGGGAAGAAUAAAGCCUUAUCCAGUAAUACCCAAAUUAGUCUGCAAUGAUAUACAUCCUGUUUAGGGAGGUUUUUCCAACUGAUACUAUGUUUGCCUUUCUUCCUGGGGGUCCCAACAUAAGUACUGAGGUAGAAGUCCAUGGAGAAAUUAUUCAACUUUAUUCCCCAACUAAAGAGAGGAUUUUUAAAUUUCAAAUAUUAAUUUAUGAGCGAGAUGAUGAAUAAUAAUAGAAUCAACCAGUUUGAAGAUGUGAAAUUGGGAAGAGGGUAGAUUGGAUAUUUAUAAACUUUUUAUGGCCCUCCCUUGCUAAAUGGGGAAGAGAAAAUGAAAGGUCUUAUAAAUACAUGAAAUUGGUCAUCAGCUUGGAGAUUGUAAGGAGGUCUACUUUUUGGCGAAAAUAUUUUCUUAUUUCUCAUAGCUGUUGAGGCUGUGUAUUAUUAUGAAAAUACAGUUUAAGAGACUUUGUCCUUUAAAGGAACAGGAGCGUGAGAAAGUAAGAUGAUUAUUGUUGGUUACCUCUGCUACUUCUGAUUAUUUUCCAAAAGGUGGAAAAAAAAUCUUACCUCUGAUUCCCCCGGAGAGAGAUUCAGGGAAACAUCACUGUGCUAGACAAGAUCACUGGGUGUAGAAUUCAAUUUAGGGAUGCUGAGAAUGAAUUUGUUUUUACCACUAGAAGGCUGGCAGCCUGGAAUUUUAAGACCUGACUAGGAUAGUGAAAGGCUUUUUAUAUUUAGUGAUGUGUUCAUGUUCAGAUUAGCAAAACCCGCAGUUGCUCCUGAGAAUAGGAAUAAUUCACACUGCCUGAGUUGCUAGCAGCCGUUGAGUUGCUUUAGCAGCUAGUUUUGUGAGUAUUCCUUUAUGUAAUGGAUUGACUUUGCUCUAACAUCACAGUAGUACUUGAAUUAAAUAUAUUAUAUAUUAUGAUAUAAACAUCCACAAAGUUACUGCUGAGAGGCAGUUUAUAAUGCAUUAUAAAUUCAUGCAUUCUCAAAACAUCAUACAACAUUUUUAAUUUCCAUAAAGGUGAAGAAAAACCUUGGUCAAUGAAAAUUGGAAAUCUAUUUAAUUUAUUUGUUUAUUUAGUCUUUUUGCUAUUUCUUGGGCCGCUGCCGCGGCCUAUGGAGGUACCCAGGCUAGGGGUCUAAUUGGAGCUGUAGCCACCGGCUUAUACCAGAGCCACAACAACGUGGGAUCCAAGCUUCGUCUGCAACCUACACCACAGUUGACAGCAACGCCAGAUUCUUAACCCACUGAGCAAGGCCAGGGAUUUAACCCGCAACCUCAUGGUUCCCAGUCAGAUUCAUUAACCACUGAGUCAUGACGGGAACUCUGGAAAUCUAUUUUGUUUAAUUACUUAAGUCUAGCUUUGUCUUACAUGAUCUUUAAGUUUACAAAAAGUUUACAAAGCAAUGGAAAGAUCUAUUCAGGUAAAAGGAUAAAUUUCUAGCCCAUGUAUAUUUUUGGAGUGGUGAAGUGUUGUGUUUUAUUUCCUCUAAUGAAUCUAGGGUAAUUACGAUAGAUCUCGUUUUUAUUUGCCUCAUAGUCAGUUGAAAGGACUUGUCAUUCUUUUCAUAAGGUUUUAUUCUUGUGUUCUGAUGAGAUUUUCAUUAACCCUGGGACCAUUAUUGUUAGGGUAUUGUAUCUAGGAAUUCUUUUUAUCAACAGGGACUAGAAAAGGUACUUCUCAGAAUCAUUUUACAUCUUUCUUUUUUAAAAUUUAUUUUUAUUUUUGUCUUUUUAGGGCUGCACCUGUGACAUAUGGAGGUUCCCAGGCAAGGGGUCAAAUUGGAGCUGUAGCCGCCGGCCUACGCCAGAGGCACAGCAACACCAGAUCCGAGCCGCAUCUGCAACCACAGCUCAUGGCAACAACGGAUCCUUAACCCAUUGAGCGGGGCCAGGGAUCGAACCCGAGUCCUCAGGAAUGCUAGUCGAGUUUGCUAACUGCUGAGCCAUGACAGGAGCUCCUCAUUUAAAAUCUUUCUGACAAUGGGGUGUGCUGUAUACCCCAUUUGAUUGUUCUCUUGCUGUGAUGGAGGUAAGUAGAAGAUUCUGUAGCACCAUUCCCAGUGUAAACUGGGAAAUUUCAAACUCAAUGCAGGUGCAGAUAGGCCUUUUCCCAGGCUACCAUUACAGGGGUUGUGCUUUCUUCUCCAAAUUUCUUUCUUUCUUUAGCUACUCUGUCUCUUGUGUCCCUCAAAUAGUCAAGUGCAUUUCUUUUUUCUUUUUAAGAGCUGCACCUAUGGCAUAUGGAAGUUCCCAGGCUAGGUUAGGGGUCCAGUAGGAGCUGCAGCUGCCAGCCUAUGUCACAGACGCAGCAACACCCCAUCUGAGCCACGUCUUUGACCUACACCACAGCUCAUGGCAACGCCGGAUCUUUUAACCUACUGAGUGAGGCCAGGGAUGGAACCCACAUCCUCAUGGAUAUUAGUCGGGAUCUGAGCCACAACAGGAACUCCUCAAGUGUGUUUCUGUUUCAGAGCUUUUAUAUUUAUAGUCCCUUUGGCCUGCAGAGUUCUUUCCUCAAAAUUUUGCUUAGCUGCUUGCUUCUCAUCCCUCAGGCCUCAGCUUUUAUAUUCCUUUUUUUUUUUUUUUUUUUUUUUNCUCCCGCGGCAUAUGGAGGUUCCCAGGCUAGGGGUUGAAUCGGAGCUGUAGCCACCGGCCUACACCAGAGCCACAGCAACGCGGGAUCCGAGCCGCGUCUGCAACCUACACCACAGCUCACGGCAACGCCGGAUCGUUAACCCACUGAGCAAGGGCAGGAAUCGAACCCUCAACCUCAUGGUUCCUAGUUGGAUUCGUUAACCACUGCGCCAUGACGGGAACUCCAGCUUUUAUAUUCCUUUCUCAGAGAAACCUUCUGUGACUUUCUUCCCACCUCCAUUUAAAACACAUUUCUCCCCUAGCUACAUUCUGUCCCAUCAAACUGCUUUAAUUCAUCGCAUUGAUCACUGUCUGAAAUUAUUUUAUGUAUUUGUUUACCUAUUAAUCGUCUCUCCUUACUUGAAUAUAAGCCCUUUAGAAGGCAGGGAUUCUAUCUGUAUUACUUAGUGUUGUGAUUUGUGGGACAGGUGGGUAGACAGCCAGAUGCACUGGACGGAGGGAAAAAAAACAUAGACUCCUUUGGGUUCCUGAUGUAUGGGGAAUGUGGUAGAUAGUGGCCUUACUGUUUAGAUAAACUCUUGGAUUCUAGACAGAGAACCAAAAAGUAAUGUAAUGAUUAGUAUAUUUUGGUUCUCUGUAAAUCUAUUUCUACCUUAUCAUACAUUUAACAAGCAUUUCUUGAGUAUUUACUGUCACGUUAGACUUUAGGAAAGAUACAGAGAAUAACGUGGUGUCCUUAGGAAUCUCACAGUCUAGGGAGAGAUAAUUUAGGAGUAUGGGAUUAACAGAGACACACUACUGUAUUUAAAAUAAACAACAAGAAUUUACUGUACAGCAGUAAAUUUACAAGGAACUAUAUCCAGUAUCUUGUGAUAAUCUGAAAAGAAAUAGAAUCUGAAAAAAUAUGCAUAACUGAAUCACAUUGCUACAUGUACACCUGAAACUAACACAAUAUUGUAAAUCAAGUACAAUGAAAAAGAACCUCACAGUCUAGUAGUAGAAAGAGAAAAAUUACAACACAAAAUGUUAAGUAUUGUAAUAGAUUGUAUAAAAACUGCUGGCAGAGAAGGUUAAUGAAAGUUUCACAGAGGAGUAUUAUUUGAUUGAAAAUAGGACAGGACUUCACUGGUGAGCACCAGGAAGCCCUCUCCAUCAGCAGGAGGCACAAACACUAUGUGUUGUGAAAGUGUUUAGCAUAUUGUCAGGGCAGCGACUAGUUAGUUAUACAUGACUGGGUUAUGGGAUGUAAAGUAAAAGAAAAGUAAUAGAUGAGGCUAUUAGGUAGGUUGGGACCAGAUUGUGAACUGUUUGCAUGGUAUUAAAGCAUUUAGACUUUAUCCUGUAGGCAGUGGAGUAGAAUCAUCAAACAUUUUACAACAGGAGAGUGACAUUCUCUUGUUUGUGUUCUGAAAAGAUAAUUCCUGGUAGUGGUAAGAUUAGAUCAGAUAGGAAAGAGGUUGACAUCUUGUGGAUUUUGCUCUAAUUGUAGUAUUUGUCAUGUCGUGUCGUGGUUUUCCAUCUUUACCUCAGUGUAUGCUUGAUAGUAGUAGUUUGCUUUAUUGAUAAUCUCAUAUUCUCAUAUUUCUUCAUAUUCUUAACUCCUUUUACUCUGUAUGGCAUAUAAUGGGUACAUACAUAGUCCAAGUCAGUAGUGGCCAGGCCUGCCUUAGCUCAGAAAAUAGCAGUGAGAUGGACAGGAAUGGAUGGAUUAGGGAGAAAUUUCAGAGGUAGUCUACAGGCAGGAUUUGGUCACCAGUUAUUUUAGGAGAAGGGGUCAAAGAUGACUGAGUUUGCCAGCUUGGGAAGACCCAGUUGAUGAGGAAAACUUUUAAUAGAGACAGGAAAUGCAGAAGUUGAGUAGGUGGUGGGGAAAGCAAGUAGUUAGAGUUUGUGAAUAUAUUGACUUUGAGGACUGUGCAGCACAUAAGCGGAAAUGUGACUCUGAAAUUUAGAAAAGUUUAGGCCUCAGAUAGAGAUUAAGAAAUCAUCACUGGGAGUUCCCUUCGUGACGCAGUGGUUAACCAAUCUGACUAGGAACCAUGAGGUUGAGGGUUCGGUCCCUGCCGGUGCUCAGUGGGUUAAGGAUCUGGCGUUGCCGUGAGCUGUGGUGUGGGUUGCAGACUCGGCUCGGAUCCCGCGUUGCUGUGGCUCUGGCGUAGGCCGGCGGCUACAGCUCCGAUUAGACUCCUAGCCUGGGAACCUCCAUAUGCCGAGGGAGCGGCUCAAGAAAACGCUAAAAGACAAAAAAGAAAAAAAAAAAAAGAAAUGAUCACCAUGUAGGUGUUAAUGAGCUUACAAUCAUGGGUGACAAGAUGAUGCUUGUGGGACUGUGUGAGUGGGAGAAAGCGGGUGCAUUUAAGGGAUGCUGGAAGAGGAAGAGCCUGAAGAGUGGAGAAGUCGUAAAGUCAGAGAAGAGUUUCUAGAGGGAGAUGUUAAGUACAGCUUUGUGUCCUAAGGUUAAGCAGGAGAAGCUAUUUGAUGAUACCCUUUGGUCUUUUACUUCAUUUAUACAAUUCUGAGAGGUUUCCUUUUUUCCUUCCUUAUUGUUCUUUUUUUUUUUUUUUCUAGUCAGUACAUGUGUUUUGUAAUUGGGGGGAAAAGCAAUAAACAAAAAAUAUCUUAAAGGAACGUAUUUAGAAAGAAAAUAACAUGCUGUUGCACUAAUUUUUUUUUUUUUUUAAUUCUACUUAAAAGUGUCUUCAAACAUAACUGCUAAUUUUGGAGUUCCUUUCGUGGCUCAGUGGGUUAAGGAUCUGGUGUUGCAGUGAGCUGUGGUGUAGGUUGCAAAUGAGGUUCAGAUCCUGCGUUGCUGUGGCUUUGGUAUAGGCCGGCGGCUACAGCUCCAAUUCGACCCCUAGCCUGGGAAUCUCCAUGUGCCGAGGGAACAGCCUAAAAAAUGGCAAAAAAAAAAA